UCUAAUUGAGAAGUCUUUCUCUUUCUCUGAAACGCUCUCUAGAAGCUUCUAUCUAACCGACUCCUUUUCAUCUUGUUCUUCGAUUUUCAUAUGGAUUUCUUGAUGUUUUUAUGGUAUCAGAGCAAGGACGAUGAUCUUGUUAUCUCAGUCGAAAUCUCGUUGGAAAUUUUUGGGUGUUUCUGACGUAUUCGGUCAAUGAUGAUUCCGAUCUAAAUCGGGUGUUGAUCUGAGACUUUUAUCACGAUAUCUGGUUUUAUCUUCACUACUCGAACGUUUUGGGUUGCUUUUCCGACGUUCUCGAGUCGAUUCCGGUGAGGCU
rnacentral:lncRNA from 1 species